rnacentral:rRNA from 1 species
GAUGAACGCUGGCGGCGUGCCUAAUACAUGCAAGUCGAGCGAACAGACGAGGAGCUUGCUCCUCUGACGUUAGCGGCGGACGGGUGAGUAACACGUGGAUAACCUACCUAUAAGACUGGGAUAACUUCGGGAAACCGGAGCUAAUACCGGAUAAUAUAUUGAACCGCAUGGUUCAAUAGUGAAAGACGGUUUUGCUGUCACUUAUAGAUGGAUCCGCGCCGCAUUAGCUAGUUGGUAAGGUAACGGCUUACCAAGGCAACGAUGCGUAGCCGACCUGAGAGAGUGAUCCGCCACACUGGAACUGAGACACGGUCCAGACUCCUACGGGAGGCAGCAGUAGGGAAUCUUCCGCAAUGGGCGAAAGCCUGACGGAGCAACGCCGCGUGAGUGAUGAAGGUCUUCGGAUCGUAAAACUCUGUUAUUAGGGAAGAACAAAUGUGUAAGUAACUAUGCACGUCUUGACGGUACCUAAUCAGAAAGCCACGGCUAACUACGUG